GUGCGCCUACAAUCCGUCGGAGCCCUUUUGUGGGGUGACGGCGUGCCUAUCGAAAAAUGAGUCUGCGAGUCAGUGGCAUGUGGCGAGCAUAACCCGUGUGGGGUAUGCGUAGCGAAGGCGAGUCUUAAAAGGCGUUUGAGUCGCGUGUCCUGGACCCGAAGCGGGAUGAUCUAGCCCUGAGCAGGUUGAAGCGCGGGUAAGACCGCGUGGAGGACCGAACCCACCUGGGUUGAAAACCGGGGGGAUGACUUGGGGCUAGGGGUGAAAGGCCAAUCAAAUUCCGUGAUAGCUGGUUCUCUCCGAAAUGCAUUUGGGUGCAGCGUCGGGUCAUUACGUCCCGGGGGUAGAGCUACUGGAUGCUUGCGGGCCCGUAUCGGGUACCAACAGCAACCAAACUCCGAAUACCGGUGACGCGUAUCCCGGCAGUGAGUCGGCGGGGGAUAAGCUUCGUCGUCGAAAGGGAAACAGCCCAGACCGUCGUCUAAGGUCCCGAAGCGUGUGCUAAGUGGGAAAGGAUGUGGAGUCGCAUAGACAGCCAGGAGGUUGGCUCAGAAGCAGCCACCCUUGAAAGAGUGCGUAACAGCUCACUGGUCUAGUGGUUCCGCGCCGACAAUGUAGCGGGGCUCAAGCACACCACCGAAGACGCGGCAGUAUUUUGU
rnacentral:rRNA from 1 species